GAAGUCUGAGUAUGAGAAAGCUAUGCAAGAGUUCAAGAAAAAUGUCUCUAAGAGUAGCAGCUCAGAAGCAACCGUGUCUGAAGAAUCUGAGCAGACUUCUGAGGUGAAAGACAACUCUGAGCAUGAAGCAAGCUGUUAGAUUUGAAGAUCUGAAGGACCAAUUAAGAAUGCGUUUAUUGAAGAAGCGCAAAGUUAAAAGAAUCCAGUUUGUAAUUACAAAUGGGGGUUUAUCUAUAGAAUUGAAUACAUAUGCUUUAAUCCGUCCAACCAAUCCAGGGACUAUUACUUGGCUUGAUUCUGUCUCUAACCUUCCUAUAAAGCAUUUGCCAAAGAAAAUGCAUUUGCAUAGAGAACCAAAAGGCUAAUGAACAAGAAAGGGUAGAGCGAUUUAGCAAUGCUGUGGCUGAAUGCUUCCAUGUUGCAAUUCAGAGUUUAUCAGGUAUGGUAGAUAUAUGUUUUAUGCUUUUACUUGGUGAAGAGAAAAGUAUCAAGGCCUUUCUUUUAUACAGGGGAUGAGGUUGGUAGAUUUGGUUUCAGAAUGAUUGUCAGCUUAAAGGGCAGACUUAGUUCAACCCUAUAGGAGCCGGUGCAUCCACUAACCUAUCAAACUACUAAAUUCUCAUAAUACUUUGCUUCCAUUAGAUCUAAUAUAAUCUGCCAGGUUCAUAACUUUUGCAUUUAUGGAAAUUUGUUGGCAGCAUCUCUUUUGUUGUGGCUGGAUUAGUUGAUGAAUGGGCUGCUCUCUUCUUUGAAGAGCUUGAUUACAUUAAUGAGGGAGAAAAUGUGACACUUUUUGUAGAGAUUUUGAAGAAAGUAUACUUCAAGGAGGUCACAUAUCUAUGAGAAACAUGUCUUUGUUAGUAUCAUGUACAUCAUGAUACUAAUUGAGAGGCAUCACACAUGGCUUAAUGAUGAGUUAACUACCAAAGUCAAUGAUCUCAUAAACCUUCGUAAAACUCAUUCCAAACUUGAGGCAUAUACAUGUCUGUUAAACUUUCUGAUGUACUUUCUGAUGUAGAGAGGAAGUUCAGUGAAAGUUCUAGCUCUUUGACAUGGUACACGGACAGAGUAAAGGAGCUGGAUUUGAAGUUGGCAUCCUUAGACUUGGUUCGUGAAUUUUUUUUGUAGUAUUAUGACUUGGAUGAUAUAUGAUUCGAUUAGAAUUGUUCAUGGAAGUAUUUAGACUUGUUAA